CACUAAGAAGCUUACACAGCAUCAGCCUUUUAAGCUGAAGAGGAAAACAACACUUUCCUUGGUGA
rnacentral:tRNA from 1 species